GGGGAUGUAGCCCAGUGGUAGAGCAUCUGCUUUGCAUGCAGAAGGUCCCAGGUUCAAUCCCUGGCAUCUCCA